rnacentral:snoRNA from 1 species
GUCUCAAAAUUUAAAAGAGGGAGGGUCUGGGGAUGUGGCUCAGUGGUUAAGGGCAUCUGGACUCAAUCCUUCAAUCCCCAGUAGGAAGAAGAAAGGGGGAGGGAGAGUAGAGAGAAAUUUUAUUUUAUUUUCACUUCUGUUUUCUUCCUUCCCUUCCCUUCUCUCUCUUCCUUCCUUGCUCCAUAAUUGGGCAUUGAUCCAGGGGCA